CCUUCGUUUUGUUCCUUCUUUCUUUUUUUUUUUAGAGCUUUUGUUCCUUCUUCCUGAGAACUCUCUUUUCUCACUUACUACGUGUUACGUGUAUUAUUCUGGCUCCCACCCACACAAUCUCAGCCGCUCGGUCCAAUAGCCCAAUGGAAGCCCAUUGAUUCUUCCUCUCUAAAAAUCAAUCAUAUCUCCAAAACAAAAUAUUCUCAAAAAAAAAAUCUCCAAAACUAAAAAUCCAAACAAAAAGAGGAAAGAAAAGAAAGGCAC
rnacentral:lncRNA from 1 species